rnacentral:lncRNA from 1 species
GAUGUUGGCCGAUCUUUAAGAUCUAAUUCAACCAAUAGAGGAAGACCGCGUGUAAUAGCACGGAGAAGGGUGUCACUAAUGACGUCUACAACUAACGAUACGUGAGUCAACGCUUGUCCGAAAAUCAUAGGAGUAACCGGCGCCACUAAAUUGGCAUUACCAACUGCGUUUAAGAAAACGACAGUAUCCAACGCGCUAGCUGGUUGAAGCUUUAAAAACUUGACAGUUGGGGGGAGUUCUUGGUAGAUUCCAAGCAACAUAUAGCCAUAAUCUACGACUUCUUCACCACGAAUCUUAAUUAUUACCGACUGUAUGUGUUGACAAUUUACGAAUGAGUCUCGGAAAUUCAAAUCGGAAACUGCAGAUUUGUGAUUAUUGCCGGAAAAUUCCAGAAUCAUUUGCUUAUCUACAUGUUGCAAAGUGA